UUUUAAUGCAACGUACGUCAACAUUUGUGUUUGUUAUAAAAAUGUACUAUUUGUUUAGAGUAACCUUGUUUUUGUAUCAGUCGAUCCAUGUAUGAGUUGAGUAAUUGUAAUGAUAAUUAUGUUUCAAUAUCACUGUCUAGUGUUCUUUGUAAAUUGCAAAUAUAUCUUAUUUCCGUGCCUGUAGUCAUAAAGUUCAAUUUUAAUGUUGUUGUGUUAGUAAUUUAGGCUUCAUGUAACUUUAUGUUCACGAUAAGUGCGGAAUCUAUAUAUUUUUCCAUUACAUAUACUUUUUAAAAAUAGCUUGUGUGUUCGUCAAUUUUAAUGUUUAUGUAAAUUGAUUAUGAUGGACUGUAAAAUUUAUGUGAAUAUACUCUGAAAAACAUACAUGCAAUCUACAUGUGAUAGAAUAUUCGACGGACUUUUAUAAUACCAUUGUCGAACAAUAAGAACUUUUCAUUUUGAUAUGAAGGCUCGUUUACACGUAUAUUUUCCUUUAUACUCCAAUCACACAUUUGAAAAUUACGUAUGUACAUGUACUUUCUAUCAAUUUUUUCCUCAAAUUGAACAAGAUCUCAGUUGUUUUGAAGAUCUCUGUAUAUUUGCAUAUUUUUUGUUUUCAUUUUCUUUUUAUUGUAAACGUUUUUAUUUUACACAAAUAAAUUAUGCACA
rnacentral:misc_RNA from 1 species